GGGUUGUGAGGUUAAGCGACUAAGCGUACACGGUGGAUGCCCUGGCAGUCAGAGGCGAUGAAGGACGUGCUAAUCUGCGAUAAGCGUCGGUAAGGUGAUAUGAACCGUUAUAACCGGCGAUUUCCGAAUGGGGAAACCCAGUGUGUUUCGACACACUAUCAUUAACUGAAUCCAUAGGUUAAUGAGGCGAACCGGGGGAACUGAAACAUCUAAGUACCCCGAGGAAAAGAAAUCAACCGAGAUUCCCCCAGUAGCGGCGAGCGAACGGGGAGGAGCCCAGAGCCUGAAUCAGUGUGUGUGUUAGUGGAAGCGUCUGGAAAGGCGCGCGAUACAGGGUGACAGCCCCGUACACAAAAAUGCACAUGCUGUGAGCUCGAUGAGUAGGGCGGGACACGUGGUAUCCUGUCUGAAUAUGGGGGGACC
rnacentral:rRNA from 1 species